GCCUUUGUGGUGUAGUGGUCAGCACACUCGGCGCGUAUUCGAGAGGUCCAUGGUUCGAGUCCCGGCGAGGGCA
rnacentral:tRNA from 1 species